CCGCAAUGGGCGAAAGCCUGACGGAGCGACGCCGCGUGCUUGAAGAAGCCCUUCGGGGUGUAAAAGCUUUUCUACCUGAGAAACCUUCGGGUGAUGUUAGGGUAGGAAUAAGGGGAGGCUAAUCACGUGCCAGAAGCCUCGGUAAUACGUGAUCCCCAAGCGUUAUCCGGAUUUAUUGGGCGUAAAGGGUUCGUAGGCGGUUUUGUAAAGUUUUUUGUUAAAGGUUGGGGCUCAACUCCAAAAAUGCAAAAAACUACAACUAGAGGGCGUUAGAGGCUGAUGGAACGGUCGGUGUAGGGGUGAAAUCCGUUGAUAUCGACCGG
rnacentral:rRNA from 1 species